UACGUAGGUGGCAAGCGUUGUCCGGAAUCACUGGGCGUAAAGCGCGCGCAGGCGGCGAUCUACGUCUGGGGUGAAAGCCCGGAGCUCAACUCCGGGACUGCCUUGGAUACGGGAUCGCUUGAGGAUUGGAGAGGCAAGAGGAAUUCCACGUGUAGCGGUGAAAUGCGUAGAGAUGUGGAGGAACACCUGUGGCGAAGGCGCCUUGCUGGCCAAUUACUGACGCUGAGGCGCGAAAGCGUGGGGAGCAAACAGG
rnacentral:rRNA from 1 species